CUUUCUCUAGUAGUGACGUGAUUACAGGAAGCCAGCAGACGGUGGAGGCAGAAAUGCAAAACAAUGGAGAUCAAUCGUCGUGAGACAUCUUCGUACUUUUUACCGAAACAGGAAUUUAAAAGAUCUUGGUUGGAAGAAAGUGAGUGAGGAGGAUCGAACAAUCUGCCGACUGGUUCUUUUGAUGGUGGUGAGCCUGUGUCCCCUAUGAACCUGCUGCUGCUUCUGCUUCCCAUGCCGACCCAUCAACAUCUGCAGCUGUCCCCGCAGCGCCACCAAGAUGAAGAGCUCAGAGAAGGCCUAGAUAGCAGCCAUCAGUGGUGAAGUGGCAGCCUCCUAGAAGCACUCCGGAGUCCGGACCAGUCCUGUAGAUCCAGCACCGCCUCCACGCUCAGAGGAUGAGCUCUUCCUCUUGAGUCUGGUCCCUUACCUGCAGAGGUUGCUACCUCAGAUGAAAAAAAUUGUUAAAUUUAAAGUUCACAAAUUAAUUUAUUAAAGCAGCAUAGUUGUGCUUAAUGUGGAGCCUACAAUGUAGUUUUAAAAAAGAGGCAGCAAUCUCUGCAGGUAAUGAACCAGACUUUCUCUCCUCUCCUUCACUUUGGCUCUCCCCCUUCCAAGCAAGAUCCUUUCUUAUUCCUCUAUGUAAAUAGUUGUAAAGGUUCUUUGUAUAUAUAUUGAUAUAUUUUGUAUA